rnacentral:lncRNA from 1 species
GUGGAACUGAAGCACAGGCUAAAUUCAAACUCAGAUUACCUGGGAACUUAGCAAAACACCCAGGAAUAAGCUUAAGUCUCAGUCUGUGCAUUACUUUACUCCCUAAAAGUUUACUUCAGCUCACCUAACUUUAGCCAAAAAAAAAAUACAGAUGCAAUAGAAAAUCCUGGUGAAUGGUAGAAGGAGGCAUUUACCCUAACAUCUAAAUAGCCAUCACUGGAGAAACAUCUAUUUUUCCACUGAAUGUACAAAGAACCUCAAUGAGAUGUUCAAAAUUAUGAAAUACUGUUUGAAAAGAAAUAUUUUGCCCUUUCAUGUGGAUUCUCACACUCUUUGUAUGUGUCUUGCCUGUGGAAGCAGCAAAGUGGACUGCAGCAGCACUUUCUUCCCCUCUGGCUUCUUGUUUCUGCCCUGCAGCAGCUCCUAAUUAUGACCAAGCAGGACUUUUAUCACCCAGGAGUCCAUCCUCCCUAAGGGGCAUCAGCACUGGUGGCCAAACCCUGUCAUUUGGCUGCUGCAACAAGAGCCAGAGUAAUAGCAGGAAAGGACAGAGAUGUAGGUGCUCAGGCUAUUUAGAACUGCUAGUGGCCUAUGGCCAGGCUGUGCUUUCAGAAGACGUCAAAGUCGGAAUUUCCAGAAGCAGCAAGCUAUGGCUAGUUACGUAUUGA